UACGAAGGGGGCUAGCGUUGUUCGGAUUUACUGGGCGUAAAGCGCACGUAGGCGGGUCGUUUAAGUCAGGGGUGAAAUCCCGGAGCUCAACUCCGGAACUGCCUUUGAUACUGGCGACCUUGAGGCUGGAAGAGGUUAGUGGAAUUCCCAGUGUAGAGGUGAAAUUCGUAGAUAUUGGGAAGAACACCAGUGGCGAAGGCGGCUAACUGGUCCAGAUCUGACGCUGAGGUGCGAAAGCGUGGGGAGCAAA
rnacentral:rRNA from 1 species